CAGUCGCCGCGGGAAUACGGAGGGGGCUAGCGUUGUUCGGAAUUACUGGGCGUAAAGCGCACGUAGGCGGCUUGGUAAGUUAGAGGUGAAAGCCCAGGGCUCAACCCUGGAAUUGCCUUUAAGACUGCCGAGCUAGUAGGUGAGAGAGGUAAGUGGAAUUCCGAGUGUAGAGGUGAAAUUCGUAGAUAUUCGGAAGAACACCAGUGGCGAAGGCGGCUUACUGGCUCAUUCUAGACGCUGAGGUGCGAAAGCGUGGGGAGCAAACAGGAUUAGAUACCCCAGUAGUCCCUGUCUCUUAUAC
rnacentral:rRNA from 1 species